rnacentral:ncRNA from 1 species
AAAAAUUACAGGACGGUGGCCAUGGAAGUCGGAAUCCGUUAAGGAGUGUGUAACAACUCACCUGCCAA